rnacentral:rRNA from 1 species
CAGUAGCCGCGGUAAUACGAAGGGGGCUAGCGUUGCUCGGAAUCGCUGGGCGUAAAGGGUGCGUAGGCGGGUCUUUAAGUCAGGGGUGAAAUCCUGGAGCUCAACUCCAGAACUGCCUUUGAUACUGAAGAUCCUGAGUUCGGGAGAGGCGAGUGGAACUGCGGGUGUAGAGGUGAAAUUCGUAGAUAUUCGCAAGAACACCAGUGGCGAAGGCGGCUCACUGGCCCGAUACUGACGCUGAGGCACGAAAGCGUGGGGAGCAAACAAGAUUAGAUACCCCCGUAGUCCCUGUCUCUUAUAC